GAACUGAAGAGUUUGAUCAUGGCUCAGAUUGAACGCUGGCGGCAGGCCUAACACAUGCAAGUCGAGCGGAUGACGGGAGCUUGCUCCUGAAUUCAGCGGCGGACGGGUGAGUAAUGCCUAGGAAUCUGCCUGGUAGUGGGGGACAACGUUUCGAAAGGAACGCUAAUACCGCAUACGUCCU
rnacentral:rRNA from 1 species